GUAUAAAUAAGCCCCCGAGAGUAUGGGCGAGCAAAAUCGGACCAGCCAAUUUGCGAUUAGAUAAGAACCGGAAGUGUCUGGGAAGGCACAUCAUAGAGGGUGAUAGUCCCGUACGGGUAGAAAGUUUAAUUGUAAGAGAGUAGGGCGGAGCACGAGAAAUUCUGUCUGAAGAUAGGUCGACCACGAUCUAAGGCUAAGUACUACUGAUUGACCGAUAGUGAACCAGUACCGUGAGGGAAAGGUGAAAAGCACCCCGACAAGGGGAGUGAAAGAGAACCUGAAACCGGAUGCCUACAAGCAGUCGGAGGGGCAUUAAGCCCUGACGGCGUACCUUUUGUAUAAUGGGUCAGCGAGUUAGUUUAUGUAGCAAGCAUAAGCCGAUAGGUGGAUGCGUAGCGAAAGCGAGUGUUAAUAGCGCGUUAAGUUACAUGAAUUAGACCCGAAACCGAGUGAUCUAGCCAUGAACAGGUUGAAGGUUGGGUAACACCAACUGGAGGACCGAACCCACUCCCGUUGAAAAGGUAGGGGAUGAUUUGUGGCUAGGGGUGAAAGGCCAAUCAAACUCGGAAAUAGCUGGUUCUCCGCGAAAACUAUUUAGGUAGUGCGGUAGGCGAACACCAUGAGGGGUAGAGCACUGAAAGAGCUAAGGGGGAGCGAUCCUUACUAAACUUUAUCAAACUCCGAAUACUCAUGAGUGAUACUUACCAGACAGACAGUAGGUGCUAAGGUCUAUUGUCGAGAGGGAAAGAGCCCAGACCGUCAACUAAGGUCCCUAAAUUAUGGCUAAGUGGUAAAGGAAGUGGGAUAUCCAAAACAGUCAGGAGGUUGGCUUAGAAGCAGCCAUCCUUUAAAGAAAGCGUAAUAGCUCACUGAUCUAAAUAAGACGUCCUGCGCCGAAGAUGUAACGGGGCUAAAGCCAUAUACCGAAGUUACGGGAUUGUAUUGCAAUAGAUACAAUCGGUAGCGGAGCGUUCUGUAGGCCUGCGAAGGUGAACCGUAAGGUUUGCUGGAGGUAUCAGAAGUGAGAAUGCUGACAUGAGUAGCGAAAAGAAGAGUGAGAGACUCUUCCGCUGAAAGUCCAAGGUUUCCUGCGUAAAGCUAAUCUGCGCAGGGUUAGUCGGCCCCUAAGGCGAGGCAGAGAUGCGUAGCUGAUGGGAACACGGUUAAUAUUCCGUGACCAGUUAGGAAGUGACGGAUACAGUAGUUUGUACAUGCUUAAUGGAUUGUGUGUGCAAGUGAUGUGUCCCGGGAAAUAGCCCUAACGAAGACCGUACCCGAAACCGACACAGGUGGACAGGUAGAGUAUACCAAAGCGCUUGAGAGAACUAUGUUGAAGGAACUAGGCAAAAUGCUUGUGUAACUUCGGGAUAAGCAAGCCCGGUUUUAAGGCAACUUAAGGCCGGGGGCACAUACUAGGGGGUAGCGACUGUUUAACAAAAACACAGGACUCUGCGAAAUUGAAAGAUGAAGUAUAGGGUCUGACGCCUGCCCGGUGCCGGAAGGUUAAGGAGAGAUGUGAGAGCAUUGAACUGAAGCCCCGGUAAACGGCGGCCGUAACUAUAACGGUCCUAAGGUAGCGAAAUUCCUUGUCGGGUAAGUUCCGACCUGCACGAAUGGCAUAA
rnacentral:rRNA from 1 species